CAUGAAAGAAACCAUGUUUGCACUGGAAGAUCAGGUGGAACAGCACUGGGUUAUCAAGUUACACAGUACUCAACUUAUCAGUGAGCUAAAAAAUAAGUGGGGUCAAGCCCAGGUGAAAUGUGGAUUGGAAGUGAGUAGGACACUAAAGAACCCAGCAGCAGUGGGUGACUGUGGGAAGGUUUUUGACCGUGUGUUGGCUGGGGUUUAUGAAGAGUCUUUCAUUUGAGUGUGCUAUAAUCUCCCGGGAAGAAUGUCACCUAAGAAACAAUCAUUAAUCUCUUAAACUAAGUUGAAAACUGGAUAACAGAAGAAAAGACUCUAGUCCAGAGGAGAAAAGAAUAAUAAAUAUCACACUAAACACCAUGGAAUACUUCUCAAGUCACCAAAGAGAUGGAACUGGACAGAAUACUUCUGUCCAUAAGGCCCUUAGAAGCCCCCUAAGCGAAAUACCAAUGAGGACCUCCCCAGCAGCUGCUGUCUCUCCUGCCAGAGGCAUCUGGCUUAGAGCAGUGUGCAGUCGGCCAGCAAAGGGAUGACUCAAUGCUUGAACCUUCCUGACCUUCCCCUUACAG
rnacentral:lncRNA from 1 species